GAAAAAAAAAAAACGCCCUCCUUAAGCCUGACCUCAGCCAUGGCUAUUCGACGGUCGGAGAAGAACUCGUAGAGUUUCCGCAUUGAAGCUCAAAAAUCACGGGACGAGUCCCUCCAGUUCCAGAUUAUUUAUACUGUACUCGAUCACUCUGAUAGAAUAGACUAUGGUUUGGGGUCUGUUUCCCGCCGAUCCUCUCUCAGGUCACUUGCUCUUUCCAAUUCCUACGCCUCUUUUUCUUUGUAAUGGCCACAAAUUCCCAAUUGAUUGUGAAUUUAUAGAUUUUCCAUGUACACCUUUAGGAGUUUUCAUCUCGAAAGCAACUUCAUGGGGAAUUGGUUAAACUACAUCUCCAAUGGAUAUUUUUUUUUAAUUUUUAAUUUUGGAGUUCAUAUGAUCAUUUUCUUAACCGUACAAGAUCAUCAGAAAGUAGUCAUAACAACAAAUUGCAUGCACUGGAUUGGAUUGAUUAUGUUAUCUCUCAGUACAGUCUUCUUCUUGUGCUGUUGCUUUUGGUAAUGAGUUUGUUGGUGCUUGUGUUGUGAUUGUUGUGACAGGGGAAGAUAAGUACUAUAUUUUUACUAAAGGAACAUACAAAGUUGGUCGCAAAGGUUGCGAUGUAAUUAUUAACAAAGACAAAGGAGUUUCUCGUAUCCAUGCAGAGAUAGUUGUUGAUGAAAUGACUUUGUCUAACGCCAUGGAAAGCAAGUCUGAAUGGUCCUCCAGAAUUCGAAUUAGAGAUUUUUCAAAGUAUGGCACAUUCAUUAACAAGAAUCUUGGGUCAAUGGAAAAGGUUCAAGAGUUCCCAAAUAAAGAAACAACUUUAAAAGAAGGGGACCUGAUUUCUUUUGGGACGGGUAAUGCAACAUACAGGUUUUGUUUUGUUCCACUCAAUUUUUUUGUCUACUGCUCUGAGUCGUUCCAAGGCAAUCAAACCCUUGAAGACAAAGUUUCAUCAAUUGGCGCUCGUAUUACUUUCCAAUUGAGUGAAGAGUGUACACAUGUACUUGUUGAUCACCAAAUGCCAGUAAAUAAAGAUGUUGUUGAUGCUAUUGUAGCUAAGAAACCUGUUGUUCUCCAUAGCUGGGCCGAGUUGGUUGCUGAAAAAAGCAUUGGGUCGGAAAUUCCUAGCUGGAAUUCCUAUAUCCCGACAUUAACAGUGGAAGGAGUACCAACCAAAGUUGUGGACUCAGUAACUCGGGCAAAAUGUUUGGAUGGAUACACUUGUCUUCUAGAAUCAACAAAUAUGUAUAAGUUCGGGGACAGGUUGCAGUCUCUGUUGGAAGUAAGCGGUGCAAAUGUUAUUUUCAUUGAAGAAUUUUGUUCAAGUAGCCAAGGCUUGGAUUGUGGAGAAAAUGUUCAAAUGGUGUAUGUUAUCCCUCAAGGGUCAACUGACAAGUCUGGUCGUUAUAGCAAACUGAGUUCAUUAUCUAAAGUGAAUGAAGUGGAUCUGUCAUGUGCUGUUAUAUCUGGGCAUUUAGAUUCAUCUAUAUUUAUAUUACCAACUGUGCUUGUUUCAUCAUCAUGCUCCACGGAUGAGACAGUAGUAGCAGAUUCUGAUGAGGAAGUGGGAAUGACAUCAAUUCAUUCCACAGCCAAUAUCUGCAGUGAAGAAGCCCCUAAAUGUGUGAACAAAGUAGAAAUAUCCACUGUUCAUUGCCUUACUAAAUCAGAGGAUAACCAUGUCAUGAGCUCUAUGGACAAUUACGGUGGAAUGACAGCAAAAAAGGAGAAGGGGGAAGACCCUGAAAGUGCAAAUUCUGAUAUCAUUUAUAGCCAAGAAUUAAUUAUUAGGGAUUGGCAUUUACCUGUGACAAUCAGUUCUACUACAAGUGAUAGAAUUUUAAACUUCAAGCGCUUCAAAAAGAAAAACAUGCAAUCAGGAAAUAGCUUCAACAACCUGAUUCCAUUCUCAAAAUUGCCAUACAAAGAUACUGACUAUGGCAAUCCGGAGAUGCUCGACUAUGUGAAAGAAGAAAAAAGCCGGAAGCAAAUGGAAGCUAUUGCAGAGGAUUUAUUCAACAAUGAAAAGGGAAGACGGCGUGGUGUAGCUGGUUCUCUUCAUUCACUUCUUUCUCAUGGAUGAAGGAAAAAAAAAAGAAGGCAAUGGAGAGAUGGUUGAUCAUCUGAUUCUUCAUUGGCCAUAGACCUGUAAAUUACGGUCUCUGUUUUGCCUUUCCAUUUGUUGAUUCAACUGAUUGAAAGAGAUGUUGAACUGUUGAAUUCCUGGUGGAGAGUGAAGGCAUAUUUUUAAUUUUAUGGAAGAUGGCUCCUCUGAUGUAAAUAUGGCUUGAUAGGAAUAUUGGGUGUCUGAGAAUGUUGAAAUAUCUCUGUUGGUGUGUUCAAGUUUCGUAUUUUGAGACGUUUGUAUUUGUUGUUGAGUACUAUUUUGGAAGGUAGGUGGAUUCAUUUUCAGAAUUGAUAACUUUUGUGCUAUUCACAUUCCAAAAACUAAUUUUCUCAACCUCUCCCAACACAAAUUAUUUUCCCAAUUUGGAGCAAGUUAU
rnacentral:misc_RNA from 1 species